UACAGAGGUCCCAAGCGUUGUUCGGAUUCACUGGGCGUAAAGGGUGCGUAGGUGGCCGGUUAAGUCUGACGUGAAAUCUCCGAGCCUAACUCGGAAACUGCAUCGGAAACUAUCCGGCUCGAGGGUUGGAGGGGGGACUGGAAUACUUGGUGUAGCAGUGAAAUGCGUAGAUAUCAAGUGGAACACCAGUGGCGAAGGCGAGUCCCUGGAAAACUCCUGACACUGAGGCACGAAAGCUAGGGGAGCAAACAGG
rnacentral:rRNA from 1 species